CUCGCUUGCCUCCUCCGACCUUGUCCCUGCUCCCUUCUCUCUGCUACCUACUCCCUCCUGCACCCCUCUACCUACUCCCUCUUCUCUUGCACCCCUUGCUCCCAUCGCCGUUUCUCCCGCUUGAGUUUGCCACCGUUCCUAUGCUCCUUCCCUCUUAUGUUAUCACCUCUCUUUUGUUCUUUCCCUUCCCCUUUACCUCAGUUGCUUCGACACCCUACAAGGUCAUGGACAGGAACCUGCUCCCCUUUGGUUUAGCCACGGUUCACUCUACUGCCCUCUCCCCUCCAAACCCCAAUGUAGUCACAGGUCUGUUGUCCCCUCACCUCCCCUACGCCCUCCACCUUGUUCGUGUCUGCCAUGUUAGAAUGAUGCAUCUCCGCUAUCCCCCCCUUACCAUUACCUGUCAGCAGACUACUCUUCCAUGCACGUUCACCACUACCUUGCCUACCUUCCUUCUCAGUCUUCCUUUGGCACCUCCUCUUGCCUCACUUUUCUUCCACCUUCGAGUUUCUCAUCCCUUCCUUCUUACGAGUACCCUUCGAGGAUCCUUCACCCCUUCCACCUCAGGAACCUUUACCCCUCCCCACUAUUUCCUCUUCCUCCCUCCCCACUCUCUCCUCUUCCUCCCCUCCCUAUAACUC
rnacentral:lncRNA from 1 species